rnacentral:rRNA from 1 species
AAAGGAAUUGACGGGGGCCCGCACAAGCGGUGGAGCAUGUGGUUUAAUUCGACGCAACGCGAAGAACCUUACCAGGUCUUGACAUCCUCUGAGAACCUAAGAGAUUAGGCAUUCUGACUUAUGUCAGACAGAGAGACAGGUGGUGCAUGGUUGUCGUCAGCUCGUGUCGUGAGAUGUUGGGUUAAGUCCCGCAACGAGCGCAACCCUUAUUCUUAGUUGCCAUCAAGUAGAGUUGGGCACUCUAAGGAGACUGCCGGUGACAAACCGGAGGAAGGUGGGGAUGACGUCAAAUCAUCAUGCCCUUUAUGACCUGGGCUACACACGUGCUACAAUGGCCUGUACAAAGGGUAGCGAAGCCGUGAGGCGGAGCCAAUCCCAAAAAGCAGGUCUCAGUUCGGAUUGCAGGCUGCAACUCGCCUGCAUGAAGUAGGAAUCGCUAGUAAUCGCGGGUCAGCAUACCGCGGUGAAUACGUUCCCGGGCCUUGUACACACCGCCCGU